CAGAUACUAUGAAAUAUGACCAGGCAGAUUUGAAAAAGAGCCAAGUAAAACAUUUAUAAAUGAAAAAUAUAGUUGUUGACAUUAAAAACUCAAUGACCAAAUUAAACAGUAUAUAAGAAACAACUGAAAAGAGAAUUAUUUAACUAAUAUAUCUGAAGAAAUUACCUGGAAUAUAACACAAAGAGACAGGAAGAUAGAACAUCAAAGAGGGGUCAAGACAUAGAGGAUAGAAUAAGAUUUAAUAUAAUAGGAGUGGCAGAAAAGACUAGAGAAAAUAGAUGAAAAACCAAUAUUAAAAAAGAUAAUAAAAGAGAAUUUCCAGAACUGAUAAGAGAUGAGUUCCCAGAUAUAGAAAGUUAAACUACCCUUGCAAAAAUUACAACAGUGAGAAAGUUAUGACAGUGAAAGAGAUCUGACCUAACUGACUCCAUCCUGCGUUUAACCUCCAACCUGCCCCUCUUCCUUCCUGGGCAUAGGCUGAACUAACUUUGGGAGGAAUUUAGUUUAUAGUUUGAAACAAAGACGAUAACAGCCCCUCCCUGAAACAAACCUCCUCCUUGUGUGGGGACCAAACUGCCUCUGUAAAACUAACAGAUUAACCACAAGAUUAGAAAUUAUGGCUUAGGAGUUAUACAGCCAGAGGGCACCAGAUUCCUAACCUUCUAAUUGCUUUUGUGAAUAACAUCUAAGAUUGGUGUUUGGAAUAUUUUUCAGACUCUGCACUCUGAUGGAUCCAGUGGCGCCACCCAGACCAGUAAACUGGCUCCUCUGGUCUUGUGGCCACCAUCCAGGAGCUGACUCAGAGCAAGAGGACAGCCUGGACUCCCUGUGAUUUCAUCCUCAACCCAACCAAUCAGCACUCCCCAUUCCCUAGCCCCCUGCCUGCAAGACUGUGUUUCAGGGAGGCUAAUAGUAAAAAGAAUAGAAAAUAACCAAAUGUCAAGACUGCAACUGGGGUGGAGCCAAGCUGCUGCGGAUGUUGCCAAGGGCCCUUCCCGGGAGAGCCAGUUUUCCUUCCAGGAGGACAGGCCAUGCACUAAAAAACAGCUGCAGAGGAAAGGCUGGACCAGGUGUGCUGGGAGUCACCAGGAGCAAGGUGGUGAAGUGAAGAAACUGAGAUAGGAGAAGGGAUGGUGCCUGAGUCUGCGGCAGACCCUGAACUGGGCCACAUCUCCCAACUUGAGAUUGAAGUCGCUUUGAAAGCAGAGCACAUGAAUCCGGGCAACGUGACUUAAGAGCUGGCUGAUGUUCCAGGACAGCACAAAAGAACGGAACUUGUUUUCAUGCUAUGAUUCAUUGGGGGACAGAGCUGGGCCAGGAUCCUGGGACAGAAGGAGGAGGCGGGCCCAGGAAAGUCCACUUGGGGUAACACACAAUUUGUACAUAAAAAAGAAAUGUUCACCUCUUUGUAUGUACCGUAGUAAUUAUUUCACCUUCUUUUAUGAACUUGCACAUUUUCAGAGAGAGUUAAAUUAAGCAGAGUCUGAAAGUGGAGAAUUCUCACAUAGAUAAAAGAAUGGGGACCUGAAAUUGGGUCAUCAGGAAGUGUCUUGUGGCAAAAUACACUUAGUAUCGAACUGAAGGAAGAAAUAUUUCAAACAUUUUCUUUAAGGAAAACUUAAUGGAUGUGACUUAAUAUUGUCUAGACUGACCUAGCAGCACAAGGUGGUGCGUUCAAGGACUUUUCAUCUCAAUCCACAGGAAAAGGGUUCGAUUUAGAUGAGAAAGAGGGAGCGGGGCACAGCUAGACUGGAGAGGCAUCCUGUCCACGGAUUAGUCUUCACUCUUCAUGUGGGCAGUAGAAUGGUAAACGGGACCUUCUUAAAACAGCAGCUCCCAAACACUGGGAGGUUGAUGUGCUUCCUAAACCCUCACUGAUUCAUGAUGUUCGGCACAGUGUGGGGCCUCCCGAAAACGGUGCUGAUCAUAUGGAGUUUGUGGAACAUCUCCUAUGUGUACUACCGGGACUCUACUAUCCUCCGUGAUCACAAUUUCACUGGGGGCCAGUCGCCUAGAAGAUCUCACGGGGUGUCCAAUCUUUUGGCUUCCCUGGGCCACAUUGGAAGAAGACGAAUUGUCUUGCACCACAUAUAAAAUACACUAACACUAACGAUAGCUGAUGAGCUAAAAAAGAAAAUUGCAAAAAUAUCUCAAUGCUUUAAGAAAGUUUACAAAUUUGUGUUGGGCUGCAUUCAAAGCCAUCUUAGGCCACAUGUGGCCCGUGGGCCAUGGGUUGGACAAGCUUGAAGAUAGCCAUGAGACUACUGAUGACAAGAAUAAAGGUGGUUUAUUGAAUCCGUACUGUGUACUAGACUCUUCACAUGCAGAGCCUCAUUUAAUGCUCGUAACAAUCUCUUGAGGCUGAGACAAGCAUAUCCCCCAUCUUACAGAGGAAGAAGCCCACUCAGAGAAGCUAAGGAACUAACCCAAGAUCACACAACUAGAGUAGGGAUUCAAACCCAGACAAUGUGGAACCACAGACCACAACUUACCCACCAGCUGUUGUAAGUACACAGGGAAACCAGAGCAGGAGGGCAGAAAAAAGGAGGAGAUAUAUGGGGGUUAUAAGCAAGGUGUGGGUUAUAUGGAAGGUCAGUUGACAUCUUCUAUGAAUCCCCUGAAACCAGGAUGAAGAAUUUCAGACCAAAAGACUAUAGAGAGAGAAAAAAACUCCUGCUCCAAAUGAGAGAAGAGAAAGAGUGUUGACGGUAAAAUAUCAGUGAGACGCUGUGAUUUGUGCCUUUUGUCUUUUUCUAUCUGGCUCCCCUAGCAACAGUUAAGUAGUAAUGAAUGUAAAUGCUCAGUAACACGCCGGCGAGACUGUUCCACCAGGCGCAGCAUCCCUGGUAAACAGAAAUGCAUGCUAAUUUCUGCUCCGUGAAGCAUAGGAAACAUCACUAGGGGCUGCCCAGUGGAAAGGAACAAAAAGCAGAUGGAAAAAAUGUUUAAAUCUCAAGUUUAUGUGAGAACAGAAAAGAAGGAACAUGUUGUAAAUUAUUUUUUGAAAUAUUAAGCUACUAACAAAAUCCUAACACCAAGACAGACAACAGGGGUGGUAAAAGGGGAAGGAGAGACGGAGUCACAAUGGAGACGGUUUUGCUACAGCACAUCAUUAACCGCCACGUUUUUCUGCAGUAUCUGAAAAUAUCAGUCUUGGAAAUACCUAUGCAUUAUUUUUUCAGAGGUGUGUGUCUAUGGCCUCGGGGCUGGAGCUGGAAAACAAGCUAUUGCCAUGAGCUCAUGCUGGAGUCUGUGUAAAUUGUUUCCUCUCCUUAUGUAUAAUGUUUCUAAUUAGGACUGUUACAGAGGAUGAGCUCUGUGGGCUGUUGAAUUGACUCUUUGUGCUCACUGCAAAUCUAGGGCUUUAUGCCUGCCCAUGCUUGGGCCGACCUGCUUCUUAGAGGCAUCGCUAAAUGGGGAAGGUGACCCUGUCCUGCUUCCUGAUGUCUGAUAUCAGGGCUGUUGGGGAAACACCCAAGAGAUCUGCUGUCACCCCUGGAGUGAAUAGAUACAUGACUCUGGUUUCUAGAUGCAUAACUCUUGUUUCUAGUUGGCCCUUUUAUCCAAUUAUACCUUUAAUAAACAAAAGUCCAUUUUGAGGUCCUUUCUCUAAGAGACAACUAUUUACCUAAAAGUUGUAGGGUGAGCAGUAGACACUAGUUCCUCCCUCUGCAUCAAGAAUUUAAGAAAUGGGCUGGGCACAGUGGCUCACACCUGUAAUCCCAGCACUUUGGGAGGCCAAGGUGGGUGGAUCUCUUGAGAUCAGGAGUUUGAGACCAGCCUGGCCAACAUAGUGAAACCCCGUCUCUACUAAAAAUACAGAAAUUAUCUGAGUGUUGUGGUACAUGCCUGUAAUCCCAGCUACCCGGGAGGCUGAGGCAGGAGAAUCAUUUGAACCCGGAAGGCGGAGGUUGCAGUGAGCCAAGAUUGUGCCACUGCACUCUAGCCUCAGUGAUGGAGCGAGACGCCAUCUCAAAAUAAAUAAAUAAAUAAAUAAAUUUUAAAAGAAUUUUGGAAAUGUUUAGGGAAAGUGGAGUAGGACUCUGCUUCCCCAAGAUGCUGAGGCUUUGCAGAGAGGAUGUGACCCAGAGGGUAUGAGUCUCCCCGGCUUGGACCCACUCCUGCUCCCGACCUCUGACAUGUUUCUAGGUCAGACACACUUAGAAAAUUAAUCCUCAGCCAUCUGAGUAGCUGAUUGUCAGCAGGCAAUUCCCUUCCACCGGUAAAACUUCAGUCAGCUACGCUGGGCGAUGCAUAGAAAUACAGUAUUGGCUUGGCUUAGAGGUCUCCAGACACUUGGUCCCAGAGGACCAAGUAAAGGUUGCUUGUUAAUCUAGUACGACAUUCCCACUGUGGGACCUGUUAGGCUCCACACUGAAGAGGUGCCAGGAAUUCAAGGAGAGUGGAGGCUGGUGCUGAAAAGCUUCCCCCAGUGAUUCUGAUAUGCUCAGAGGGGGUGAUGGUGGUGGUCUUGGGCAGGCUUCCCAUUGUGUCAGGCCCAUGGUCACUAAUUCUUGUCCAGACCUGCAGAGCCAGAAUAGCCCAGCCCACAGAGCAGAAGCCACAGUGUAAGAAGCCCGACCUGGGCCAGAAAGCCUGACGAUGUCAGAAAAAAAUCCCCAUCAGUGUGAUGCCAUGGAAACCCUAGACAGCAGGCAGAUCUUUCUUCCUACGAGCCCAUUGGCACCUCCCUGGGAACUGGGAGCUGAGUAGGGAGGUAAAUCCCAGAAGCCAACAGAACACAGGUUUCAUGGAGAGCCUGGAUGCAAACCAGCAGUAGAGGACUGCUGCUCGGCACUGCGGAGGUGCUCAUGCCUUGCACCUGGUGGUUUGCCAAUGGACAAUUUCUCCAUGACCUAGUUUUCUACCUGGUCUGAAAUGAGAAAAAAUAAGUACAGCAUAGCAAGUUUUUCAUUAAGCUAAAUUUGUUCUAUUUAAAGAACUGCCAUUUGUUCUGGAACUAUGUCCUUUCUACUUUUUUUGGUGGAAGAAAAGUACUUUUAAGAAACAGAUGUGACAAUGUGGUAGUGGAUGACAACAUUUUUUGGUGUUGCUUUUUAAUAUUUCUAUUUUUCAAAAUAAAACCUGGCAACACUGUGUUAGUCCUCUGUUUUGUUUGUUUGCAUGCUUGCUUUUGCUUCUGUGUGUGGCGGAUUAGGGAUGGACACAAACUCUUUGGAACUUUUCAUACUGAAAGGUGCACCUAAUUUGCCUUCUCUUAAAUCUGGGCUGGCCUUAGUGACUUACUUGACUAAUAAAAUGUGGUGCGCAUGACCGCAUAGGUCUUCUGAAACUAGAUCACGGGAAACCCUGCAGCUUCCUUUCCAGGCCUCUUGGAACACUUAC
rnacentral:lncRNA from 1 species